CCUGUAUGUUUUAGGAUAAGCCAGCUGUUCGUGCCGAAGCGUUUACGUUGUUUGGAAAUCUAUCAAGAUUUGGUAACGGUCCAUCAAAAGGUCCUUUCUUGGAGCAAAUCCACGCAAACUUUGUCAGUUUGUUGAUACAUAUGAAUGAAGAACCGGAAGUUACUAAGGUUUGCUUUUCAAAAAAAAGUUCUGAUAUAUUAUUUGUAUUUUUUGCAUGGCUGUAAAUAUAGCAUGAUGAUGUUAUAAAUGCUCUUUGUUAAGCAAAAUUUCAAAAUUAUUAUUAAUUAGUAACAAACUAAUUCCAUCACAUACGCGGUUUUCAUGGACGUCCUGCAAAUAAAUUACAUUAUUAUAUAUCAAUAGUCAAAGUCGCAUUUUUCUAGUGUUUUAUUGGUUGAGAGCAUAUCACGUGAGAGUGAUGAAAUUAGGCUGUCUCCCUCGCAACAGCGCGAGAGGGAGAUAAUACGUUAUCGACCGGCGAAUAACAAAAAAAAGUCACGUGCGCCAUCACGUGAAGAUGCGACCUUUGGACAUGCCUAGUACGUAAUUAAAACUUUCGCUUUAAGUAACUGCACUGUAGCCAGUGUUUAAUAUUUAACAAAUAUAAAACAUUUUCCGUGUUGAUAUACAGUUAUAUCAACACGAGUGGAAAUUGGGAAAACGAGAAAUUGUGUGGAAACACGACGCCCGAAGGGCGGAGUGUUUUCACACAAUCUCGAGUUUUCCCAACUUCCACGAGUGUUGAUAUAACUAUAUAUAGUGUUUUAUAUUUGUUUUAUAAUAUAGCAAUGUCAAAAGCCCGAAGAAUAAGAAAAAUUUCCGUGUUACAAGCGGCGGAAAAUUUCCCGUGUUGACAUGGAGUUAUAUCAACACGGCUCUUAGCCAAUCAGCGUUCAGAAUUUACAAAUGCUAUAUUAUAAAACGUUUUAACAAUAAAAUAUUUCAUGUAUGUACGUUCAUUUGUUCUUUAAUUUGUUGUUUCUUUGACUAUUGAUAUAUAAUAAAACACUUAUUUACUGAGACCUCGGGAAAGCAGUGUGUUUUGUGGACCCUCGACCGUCGAUGUUUCCCUCGGCUUCGCCUCGGGAAACAUCGACGGUCUCGGGUCCACAAAACACACUGUUUCCCUCGGUCUCAGUAAAUAAGUGAUAAAUAGCUACAGUAGCUAAUAUAUUAUAAUAUAUACUAAAAUAUUACAAUGUAAAAUAAGUCUCUAUACUAUAGUUCAAAGUCCAAUCUAAAAUUAUUUAUUUACAAAGUGUUCUUGUCAUAAUGUUUAAAAGUAAAAAGACAAUUGUUUCUCAAGUAGAAUUGGGUGGCAUAUAGAGACCUUUGUUGGCCAUAGCUAAGUGGUACAGAGCGAGUCCACGUGGUAAGCCUAUAGACAUAUUCUGCUUGACAAUUACACCAAGAUGUUUAAAUGUUUCUGCGGUUUCGAUAGCUUGUUGAUCAAGCAGUAUGUUAACUUGCAAAUUGCAUGAUGGUAGGUCGUUCAUAUAUUAGUGUAGUGUAAUUUCAAUCUUAUAAGGGAAAGUACAGCAUUAAUAUUUCAGCAACUUCAAUUUUUUCUUUAGGCGUGUAAAUGUGCCUUGCGCAAGCUGUCACCUCUAAUGGGCUCUGAAUCUAUCAGUGAUAUGUUUCAAAAACAUCUACUAGAAAACGCAAAUCUUCAUUACGGCGAGUUUAUGAAGGAUUUAUCAAGACUCAUAGUAAGUAAAAAUUAUUUUGACUUUGG
rnacentral:lncRNA from 1 species